rnacentral:tRNA from 1 species
AAAAUUGUAGUUGAGGCUAUCGCCCCUUGUAUGGGUCUAGUUCAAGUUCAAUUCUUGACAAUUUUA